GUUUAUAGCAGGUAUUGAUUUCUCAAAUUUGAUAUUUGAUUUUUAUCAUCGUCAUGGAUAUCAGCAAGUUAUUUAAAAUAGUGCAAUUUUUGCAAUUUCUUAAGUACCAAUACCGUUAUCGCAUUGUGUGGCAAAUUUUCGACAGACAAGCGAGGCGACGGCGCCGUUCGGCUCUCGCUUUGUUCACUCAUCUCCACGUGCCUUCCGCCAUUUAGUCCGUAUAAAUCGUUAGAUUGAUGCCUAAACUGUGAAUUUUUAGCAUCAAAUAUAGUAAAACCUUAAAAUACUCAAGUAGAGUGACGAAUUUUCAAGAAUUGGAAUCGUUUGCUGACGAAUAAUAUAAAGCCGCAACCCGGCGGCGUGGUCGUGUUCGGCGGUAACGUUGAGUAGUGUGCCAGUACUGCCAGUGUGCCUGCGCCAGGCGUAAAGUGACAGUGAGAGGCGGGGCGAUGGCUGCCGGCGCUGAGUUUGUCGAGGGCUGGCUAGUCGCCCAGGUGUUGGGGGAAGGUGCUUAUGGCGAAGUGCGGCUACUGGUGCACGCGCGCAGCGGCGCCGCCGUGGCGCUGAAGGUGGCGCGCG